CAAAUGAAUUGACGGGGGCCCGCACAAGCGGUGGAGCAUGUGGUUUAAUUCGAUGCAACGCGAAGAACCUUACCUGGUCUUGACAUCCACAGAACUUUCCAGAGAUGGAUUGGUGCCUUCGGGAACUGUGAGACAGGUGCUGCAUGGCUGUCGUCAGCUCGUGUUGUGAAAUGUUGGGUUAAGUCCCGCAACGAGCGCAACCCUUAUCCUUUGUUGCCAGCGGUCCGGCCGGGAACUCAAAGGAGACUGCCAGUGAUAAACUGGAGGAAGGUGGGGAUGACGUCAAGUCAUCAUGGCCCUUACGACCAGGGCUACACACGUGCUACAAUGGCGCAUACAAAGAGAAGCGACCUCGCGAGAGUAAGCGGACCUCAUAAAGUGCGUCGUAGUCCGGAUUGGAGUCUGCAACUCGACUCCAUGAAGUCGGAAUCGCUAGUAAUCGUGGAUCAGAAUGCCACGGUGAAUACGUUCCCGGGCCUUGUACACACCGCCCGUCACACCAUGGGAGUGGGUUGCAAAAGAA
rnacentral:rRNA from 1 species